rnacentral:rRNA from 1 species
AGUAAUGUAUGGGGAUCUGCCUGAUGGCGGGGGAUAACUACUGGAAACGGUAGCUAAUACCGCAUAAUGUCUACGGACCAAAGCGGGGGACCUCCGGGCCUCGCGCCAUCAGAUGAACCCAUAUGGGAUUAGCUAGUAGGUGAGGUAACGGCUAACCUAGGCGACGAUCCCUAGCUGGUCUGAGAGGAUGAUCAGCCACACUGGGACUGAGACACGGCCCAG